UUGAAUAUGAUUUUUUUUUUUAGAAAUAAAAUUCACCGCAAAAUAAAGAUUGUGAUUCUAUUGCUCACUGCCUCCUUCCAAGUGAUCUGCUGUCCGCUAGUAGUUUAUGAAUCUGCCAUAUUUUUCAUGAUGUUCAGUGUGACAGAUUUUGCCUCUGACAAACUUAGUAGCUCAUAUAUGUGCCAAGGGAAAUGUUGUUCGGACUCUUCAAAAAUGUCAAGGGGUGCUUGUCAGAUUCACCAAAAGUAGUGUAUCUUUCCAUUCAGUAUAUUGAUUAUUUUAUUUCUUAGUAACUUUCUAUUAUCUUGUAGGUAUCUCCAUAUAAGGAAUUUAAGCACAACUGAGCUUGAGGAAUAUCAGUAGUUUCCUUCAAAUUCUUAUUCAUAUUAGCUGUGACCGGGAAAGUUCUGCAGAGGUUCUUUGGAAAUCUGGAAGAAUUUUAUUUCCCUGAUUUGGUUGAAGCUUGCCUAAGUAUUGAGAUUCUGUGCUUAAAUGAGAUAGAGGAUACAGCACCAAGAAGAAGGAAUCUUUCAAGAAGCAGGAGGGAGCUUUUCAA